AGAGAGUUGGCGGAGUGGUUGAUCGCGACAGUCUUGAAAACUGUUAUACUUUUUUCGAAGUAUCGUGGGUUCGAAUCCCUCACUCUCUG
rnacentral:tRNA from 1 species